GCGGGUGUAGCUCAGCUGGUUAGAGUGCCGGCCUGUCACGCCGGAGGUCGCGGGUUAGAGCCCCGUCAACCGCUCCA
rnacentral:tRNA from 1 species